UACGGGGGGGGCAAGCGUUGUUCGGAAUUACUGGGCGUAAAGGGCUCGUAGGCGGCCAACUAAGUCAGACGUGAAAUCCCUCGGCUUAACCGGGGAACUGCGUCUGAUACUGGAUGGCUUGAAUCCGGGAGAGGGAUGCGGAAUUCCAGGUGUAGCGGUGAAAUGCGUAGAUAUCUGGAGGAACACCGGUGGCGAAGGCGGCAUCCUGGACCGAUAUUGACGCUGAUGCGCGAAAGCCAGGGGAGCAAACGGG
rnacentral:rRNA from 1 species